rnacentral:lncRNA from 1 species
GGCGAACCUCUCAUGGAACCGGCGCGAGAUUUCUGCGAGGAAUCUCCGGGAGCUCGCUCGGCCGCCCGCCUCCCAGUUUGCUACGCCGGCAGUGCAGAUCCAGUGGGGAGGGGGGCGCCGCCCAUGCACGCACAGCCGAGAGAGAGGCGUCUGUUACGCUCUCGAUCUUUUUCCCUCCCUGGCGCGGAAACUUUUAUUAUUAACGCUAAUUAUGGGGGGCCUAAAAGGGAGCCGCAAUUUAUAUAGCCUCCACCUCCCAGUGAGUGAGUGAGCGAGCCUCCUCUUCCCAGCGCGGCAGCGACCUACCGCCGACAGUGGCAGUGCGGAGCAACUCUG